rnacentral:rRNA from 2 species
UAGGGAAUCUUCCGCAAUGGGCGAAAGCCUGACGGAGCAACGCCGCGUGAGUGAUGAAGGUCUUCGUAUCGUAAAACUCUGUUAUUAGGGAAGAACAAAUGUGUAAGUAACUAUGCACGUCUUGACGGUACCUAAUCAGAAAGCCACGGCUAACUACGUGCCAGCAGCCGCGGUAAUACGUAGGUGGCAAGCGUUAUCCGGAAUUAUUGGGCGUAAAGCGCGCGUAGGCGGUUUUUUAAGUCUGAUGUGAAAGCCCACGGCUCAACCGUGGAGGGUCAUUGGAAACUGGAAAACUUGAGUGCAGAAGAGGAAAGUGGAAUUCCAUGUGUAGCGGUGAAAUGCGCAGAGAUAUGGAGGAACACCAGUGGCGAAGGCGACUUUCUGGUCUGUAACUGACGCUGAUGUGCGAAAGCGUGGGGAUCAAACAGG